ncrna:Nicotiana tabacum cultivar TN90 Ntab-TN90_scaffold413, whole genome shotgun sequence
AUUCUGCUAUGUUGACACUUUCGAACUAAUUCCUUAAACCUCUCCCAAGCUUCAAAUGCAGUUUCAGUAUCUUUUUGGCAGAAGUUAUGGAUUUCUCUUCUAAACUU